rnacentral:rRNA from 1 species
CCUACGGGAGGCUGCAGUCGAGAAUCUUUCGCAAUGGGCGAAAGCCUGACGAAGCGACGCCGUGUGUGUGAUGAAGGCCUUCGGGUUGUAAAACACUUUCGCCUGGGAACAAGAAAAGCUGGCUAAUAUCCAGCUGAUUUGAGGGUACUAGGUAAAGAAGCACCGGCUAACUCCGUGCCAGCAGCUGCGGUAAUACGGAGGGUGCAAGCGUUAAUCGGAUUUAUUGGGCGUAAAGAGCAUGUAGGUGGAGUGGAUAGUUAUAUGUGAAAGCCCGGAGCUCAACUCCGGAAUUGCAUCUAAUACUUCCAUUCUAGAGGAUGAGCGGAGAAAAGGGAAUUCCACGUGUAGCGGUGAAAUGCGUAGAUAUGUGGAAGAACACCGGUGGCGAAGGCGCUUUUCUAGUUUAUUCCUGACACUGAGAUGCGAAAGCGAGGGGAGCA